GAUGAACGCUGGCGGCGUGCCUAACACAUGCAAGUCGAACGAGAGAAUAUGUGAAAUUUUCGAAUGGAAUAUAUAAUCUAGUGGCGGACGGGUGAGUAACGCGUAAGUAAUCAACCUACAACACACGAAUAACUAAUAGAAAUGUUAGCUAAUACGAGAUAACAUAUGUAAUAUGGGAAUAAUACAUAUCAAAGCUGAGGCAGUUGUAGACGAGCUUGCGUCUGAUUAGCUGGUUGGUAGAGUAAAAGCCUACCAAGGCGACGAUCAGUAGCCGGCCUGAGAGGGUGAACGGCCACAUUGGAACUGAGACACGGUCCAAACUCCUACGGGAGGCAGCAGUGGGGGAUAUUGCACAAUGGGCGAAAGCCUGAUGCAGCAACGCCGCGUGAGCGAAGAAGGCCUUAGGGUCGUAAAGCUCUGUCGUAUGGGAAGAAACAAAUGCA
rnacentral:rRNA from 1 species